rnacentral:rRNA from 1 species
GAGUUUGAUCUUGGCUCAGAUUGAACGCUGGCGGCAGGCCUAACACAUGUAAGUCGAACGGUAACAGGAAGAAGCUUGCUUCUUUGCUGACGAGUGGCGGACGGGUGAGUAAUGUCUGGGAAACUGCCUGAUGGAGGGGGAUAACUACUGGAAACGGUAGCUAAUACCGCAUAACGUCGCAAGACCAAAGAGGGGGACCUUCGGGCCUCUUGCCAUCGGAUGUGCCCAGAUGGGAUUAGCUAGUAGGUGGGGUAACGGCUCACCUAGGCGACGAUCCCUAGCUGGUCUGAGAGGAUGACCAGCCACACUGGAACUGAGACACGGUCCAGGACUCCUACGGGAGGCAACAGUGGGGGAAUAUUGCACAAAUGGCGCAAGCCUGAUGCAGCCAUGCCGCGUGUAUGAAGAAAGGCCUCGGUUGUAAAGUAC